GAUGAACGCUAGCUACAGGCUUAACACAUGCAAGUCGAGGGGUAACAAGAGAAGAGCUUGCUUUUCUUGUUGACGACCGGCGCACGGGUGAGUAACGCGUAUCCAACCUGCCUAUAACUAGGGAAUAACCUUGCGAAAGUAAGACUAAUACCCUAUACUUUCCUCAGAUGUCAUCUGACGAGGAAUAAAGAUUUAUCGGUUGUGGAUGGGGAGGCGUCUGAUUAGCUUGUUGGCGGGGUAACGGCCCACCAAGGCAACGAUCAGUAGGGGUUCUGAGAGGAAGGUCCCCCACAUUGGAACUGAGACACGGUCCAAACUCCUACGGGAGGCAGCAGUGAGGAAUAUUGGUCAAUGGGCGGAAGCCUGAACCAGCCAAGUAGCGUGCAGGAUGACGGCCCUAUGGGUUGUAAACUGCUUUUAUACAGGAAUAAAGUUAGCCACGUGUGGUUAUUUGUAGGUACUGUAUGAAUAAGGACCGGCUAAUUCCGUGCCAGCCGCCGCCGUAA
rnacentral:rRNA from 1 species